GAUGAACGCUGGCGGCGUGCUUAACACAUGCAAGUCGAACGGUAAGGCCCUUCGGGAUACACGAGUGGCGAACGGGUGAGUAACACGUGGGUGAUCUGCCCUGCACUUCGGGAUAAGCCUGGGAAACUGGGUCUAAUACCGGAUAGGACCACUGCCUGCAUGGGUGGUGGUGGAAAGCUUUUGCGGUGUGGGAUGGGCCCGCGGCCUAUCAGCUUGUUGGUGGGGUGAUGGCCUACCAAGGCGACGACGGGUAGCCGGCCUGAGAGGGUGACCGGCCACACUGGGACUGAGAUACGGCCCAGACUCCUACGGGAGGCAGCAGUGGGGAAUAUUGCACAAUGGGCGCAAGCCUGAUGCAGCGACGCCGCGUGAGGGAUGACGGCCUUCGGGUUGUAAACCUCUUUCAGCACCGACGAAGCGCAGGUGACGGUAGGUGCAGAAGAAGGACCGGCCAACUACGUGCCAGCAGCCGCGGUAA
rnacentral:rRNA from 1 species